GCCUCGAUAGCUCAGUGGUAGAGCGUCGCACUCGUACGAUACGGGAACUGAUCAAAUGCGAAGGUCCACGGUUCAAUCCCGUGUCGAGGCA